GACGAGGUGGCCGAGUGGUUAAGGCGAUGGACUGCUAAUCCAUUGUGCUCUGCACGCGGUUCUAAUCCCAUCCUCGUCG
rnacentral:tRNA from 1 species